AUACGGAGGAUCCGAGCGUUAUCCGGAUUUACUGGGUUUAAAGGGUGCGUAGGCGGCUCCCUCAGUCAGCGGUGAAAUGUAUCGGCUCAACCGAUAACCUGCCGUUGAUACUGGGGAGCUUGAGUUGGGUUGAGGCAGGCGGAAUGUGCGGUGUAGCGGUGAAAUGCUUAGAUAUCGCACAGAACGCCGAUUGCGUAGGCAGCUUGCCAAGCCCACACUGACGCUGAGGCACGAAAGCGUGGGGAUCAAACAGGAUUAGAUACCCUGGUAGUCCACGCCGUAAACGAUGAUAGCUCGCUGUGGGCGAUACACCGCCAGCGGCCAAGCGAAAGCGAUAAGCUAUCCACCUGGGGAGUACGGCCGCAAGGCUGAA
rnacentral:rRNA from 1 species